GCAGCAGGAGACGGCGCGGGAUGGAGGUGGUGGUGCAGAAGGAAGAUGCAGAGGGCAGGACGCGGCGCCUCCGGGGGCGUCCUCUCCUUGGACCGAGAAACUUCAACGUGGCGACCCCCUCCUCCACGAUCUGCGUCGCAGCCCUAGUGGCUUCUGCCCAGAUCCGCAAGGACUCAGAUGCGCAGAGGGCUCCUGCCACCCUCCCGCGGCCCUGUGGGGCCAGUGGUCAGCACUCCCCAACCCCAGCUUUCGGGUCACAUCCCGCUCUUAUCUUGGGAGCAGGGAACGUGUAGGAUUAAAAAUCCCCUGCUGUUUAUUAUAGAAAGAUCUAUAGUUACGUUUUUAAACGGGAAAAUCAAGAUGCAAAACUAGUUGAUAUGUAUGCGUACAUACACAUCACACCAGAAACUGCUAACUGGGAUCCUCGGGGAAGGGACUGGGACAUGGGGAUAGGAGAAAAAUUAUUUUAACUCCAUGUUCUUUCUGUACUGUUUAUUUUCUUAAUGUGCAUGUAUUGUCACGGAAACAAGCAAACAAAAAAAAUGAGUACCCCGCGGAGGCCCUGAGAGAGUCUGAGCCCCCAGAUGGCAGGAUUCUGUCACCUUCCCAGCAAUUACAAGGUAAGAAGGACAGAUGGACAGUCAGGGGCCGUCCACCCCCCUAACCUCACCACCACGCCGGCAGCGCUGGCGGUCCCCUCGGCCCACUCCUCACCCCAGGGCUCCGGGUUCUGUGCUCAGCCCGAGCUGGCUCAGUUGAAUAUCAGAAGGGCGGCUUGACCUUUUCAUGUGUCACCAUCGGCCCUGGUUACUAGAAAACCCCCCGAGAAUCCUGAUCCCAAAUGCUUUGAAACAAACAAACAAGAAAAGUACAGAUUGAUCGAAUGAGAAGAAGCGAUAGAGAAAUCCAGAAGGACUGCACACCCAUUUCUUUUUUCCCCAAGACUGAUCCUAAUAGAGGAACAGGAGCCAAGCCUGGGGCUGGGAGAGCGUUUUGAAGAGCUCGCUUCAGCAGCGCGGGCCUCUCCCAGCUCUGUGGGGCUGGGGUCCUGGACCAGGCUGGGAGAGGAAGAAUCAGGGGUGUUCUCAGUCCCUCCUGCUUGGUGAUGUCAGAGGGAGAAGGACACAAGGGACCCCUGGUGGCAGCCGUCCCUUGUCGUUCCAAGGACACUUGUUGUCCACUCUGGUGGGAGCCCACAGAGGAGCAGGCUGGGGUGGGGCACUGACUUGAUGCUGGGUCACCUGAGGGUGGGGUCACAUGCUCUGGCCACUUUUCACUGCCCUCCCAUCAUGCUCAAACUCAGCCCCAGAUGGACCUUUCACUUCUUAUACAGGACUGCUGCUGGGCCCUUGUGACUAAAACUUGGCAGUUCUGACGGAAUCCAGCCAUUGGGACUUUCCCGACGUGGCUCUUAUUUCCCUGUGAUUAAGAGUUUUAUCUCACCCAGGGCACAGCGAGAGCUGUUUCUUAUUUAAAAAGGUAGAGUGUGCUGCUUGGGGUGGCCCAGACUUGCUCUCGGAUUCCAAGAGCCUGUCCUGUGACUCUCCCACUGGGACUUCCAUCAGCUUCACGCCGUCCCUUUCUCCCCAUGGACACCUCAACACCGUGGAGUCUGCCUGAUGGUUUGGCCCAAACAUUACGUUUGAUUGCGCCAACCCCUGGACUGACUGCAGUGCCCUUUACCCACCCAAAUCCAGCAGCCUUGCAGUCACGUGGUGGAUGGGCUGGAGUAAUACUCCUGGGAGUGAAAGGUGUUCCCUCUGGACCUCAAAGAGGCCCACCAGGCACUGUGCUUCCCUCACUGUGGUAUGGGAUGAGGUGGCUUGCUGUUCACGUCAGAGAGGAUACCCUGCAAGGCUGUGACCACUGAAGUUCGAGUCCCCGAAGCUUCCUGCCCGCCGGAGCACCUGUCCUUCCAAUGCCUCUAGUGCACUAGCCACCUGGUUACUUGUUCUGUCCGAUCAGCCUGGUGUCAUUGAUGGAGUGGAUCCAUGGCAUCUUCAGUGAGAUGUCCAGGCAGGCCAUGUCUGGGGGCUGUAUUUUCACAGCGAGAAGGAGUGUUAAUCUAGUCCGGAAGGAGCUCUAAACCCCUUUUCAUUAUAAUUUUACCUGCUUCAAAGGCAACAACAAAAUAAAGUAAUUGCUUUGUCAGAGCCCAGACCACAGCAGAGUCGGCCCUCCGUGAGAAUCUCCUCAGAGAGGCUGAAGCAGUUCUGGGGGGGAGGGAGGACCAAGUGUCGGAUGGGGGCCUGCGACACCCAAGCCGAGACCACCGGAGCUGUUUCUCUGAGGCCCCUUCUGAUCAUCCUGUGUAAGAUCAUGGUCUGUCCUGUGAACGGAGUGGAGUUUCUGACAAACAGAAAUAUGUAUCUUCCCGUGACAUCUACGAUUAAGUUUCGACCAAUGGUGAUGUCAUUGGCCCAGCCUGAGUCAUGUGACCAUUUCUGAACCAAUCACUGUAACCAAUGGAAUGGGUUAUGCUAAUUGGCCUGGCCAGGUCGCAUGCCAACCCCUGGAACUACUGAUGGCAUCAAGACUUCUUGGAACCACAUGGACUAAACAUGAAGACUGGGCGCUGAUCUCGCAGGUUCAAAGCUGAAGUGGAAAUUCAGUCUUUGUUGGAUACUGCAAACCCCAGCCUGCAGGCUUUGUUCCCAGCAGUCUCCUGACUCUCCUGGGUGGUGGCGGAUGGGGCCUGAUAAUGAUGUUAAAGCUGAGGAGUAUUGAAGACCACCAGAUCAAGUGAAAGUUACAAGAACAUCAUCCGAUUUCCUACUGAAAUGAUACUCAGCAUGUCAAUAUGCUCCUCGGCUUCUCUCUCUCUCUUUUUUUCCAAUUUUUUUUUAUUGUAGUAAAAUACACAAAACACAAAAUCUAUCAUCUUGAACAUUCUAAGUGUACAAUUCAGUGGUAUUAAAUAUAUUUUUAAUAUUGUGCAAUCACCACCGCCUUCCAUCUCCAUAGCUAUUUUCAUUUUGUAAAACUGAAGCUCUGUAUCUGUUAGACAAUAACUCCCUCCUCCCUCCAGCCCCCCGCAAUGAGCUUUCUAAGUACCUCAUACAAGUGCAAUCAUACAGUGUUUGUCUUUUUGUGAUUAGCUUAUGUCACUCAGUAGAAUGGCUGCAAGAUUUACACACAUUAUGGUACAUGUCAGAAUUUCUUUCUUUUAUAAGGAUGAAUAGUAUUCCACUGUAUGUAUAUACCACAUUUUGCUUAUCCAUUCAUCCAUCAGUGGACACUGGACACUUGGGUU